rnacentral:rRNA from 1 species
GAACCUUCGGGGAACGAUAACGGCGUCGAGCGGCGGACGGGUGAGUAAUGCCUAGGAAAUUGCCCUGAUGUGGGGGAUAACCAUUGGAAACGAUGGCUAAUACCGCAUGAUGCCUACGGGCCAAAGAGGGGGACCUUCGGGCCUCUCGCGUCAGGAUAUGCCUAGGUGGGAUUAGCUAGUUGGUGAGGUAAGGGCUCACCAAGGCGACGAUCCCUAGCUGGUCUGAGAGGAUGAUCAGCCACACUGGAACUGAGACACGGUCCAGACUCCUACGGGAGGCAGCAGUGGGGAAUAUUGCACAAUGGGCGCAAGCCUGAUGCAGCCAUGCCGCGUGU